UCGAGCGAGAAAGUGACUUCGGUCGCGAGUAAAGCGGCGAACGGGUGAGUACAACGUGGAUAAUCUACCCUAGGGUCCGGGACACCCCGAGAAAUCGGAGCUAAUACCGGAUAAGACCACGGUAUCCAAGGAUACAGUGGUAAAAGAUUUAUCGCCUUUGGAUGAGUCCACGCCCCAUCAGGUAGUUGGUAAGGUAAAGGCUUACCAAGCCUAAGACGGGUAGCCGGCCUUAGCGGGUGAACGGCCACAUGGGGACUGAGACACGGCCCUGACUCCUACGGGAGGCAGCAGUGGGGAAUAUUGGGCAAUGGGCGAAAGCCUGACCCAGCGAUGCCGCGUGAGGGAUGAAGGCCUUCGGGUUGUAAACCUCUGUCAGGAGGGACGAUGGGACUAUGUCUUGACGGUACCUCCAGAGGAAGCCCCGGCUAACUCCGUGCCAGCAGCCGCGGUAAUACGGAGGGGGCAAGCGUUGCUCGGAAUUACUGGGCGUAAAGGGUCCGCAGGCUGUCGGGCAAGUUGGUUGUGAAAGCUCAAGGCUUAACCUUGGAAUUGCAUCCAAAACUGCCUGACUAGAGUCCAAGAGAGGUUGGCGGAAUUCCCGGUGUAGCGGUGAAAUGCAUAAAUAUCGGGAGGAACACCAGAGGCGAAGGCGGCCAACUGGCUUGGUACUGACGCUCAGGGACGAAAGCGUGGGUAGCAAACCGGAUUA
rnacentral:rRNA from 1 species